UACGAAGGGGGCGAGCGUUGUUCGGAAUUACUGGGCGUAAAGGGCGCGUAGGCGGCGACCCAAGUCAGAUGUGAAAGUCCUGGGCUUAACCUGGGGGACUGCAUUUGAUACUGGGUUGCUUGGAUUCGGGGAGAGGAUAGCGGAAUUCCCAGUGUAGAGGUGAAAUUCGUAGAUAUUGGGAAGAACACCGGUGGCGAAGGCGGCAUCCUGGACCAUUACGUGACGCUGAGGAGCGAAAGCCAGGGGAGCAAACGGG
rnacentral:rRNA from 1 species